rnacentral:rRNA from 1 species
GUAGGUGGCAAGCGUUGUCCGGAAUUAUUGGGCGUAAAGCGCGCGCAGGCGGUUCUUUAAGUCUGAUGUGAAAGCCCACGGCUCAACCGUGGAGGGUCAUUGGAAACUGGAGAACUUGAGUACAGAAGAGGAAAGCGGAAUUCCACGUGUAGCGGUGAAAUGCGUAGAGAUGUGGAGGAACACCAGUAGCGAAGGCGGCUUUUCUGGUCUGUAACUGACGCUGAGGCGCGAAAGCGUGGGGAGCAAACAGGGAUUAGAUACCCUGGUAGUCCACGCCGUAAACGAUGAGUGCUAAGUGUUAGGGGGGUUUCCGCCCCCUUAGUGCUGCAGCUAACGCAUUAAGCACUCCGCCUGGGGAUACGGCCGCAAGGCUG